rnacentral:lncRNA from 1 species
AUUAGCUAUGCUGCCUGUGUAUGGGAGACAGUGGGCAACCCCAAGAUGAAAGAGUUGGUCCAGGACUGAUGUUCCCUUUGUCAUACAGGUUACCAAACUGUGUUAUCAUUAGUAGGGCUUUAACUGGUAGUUCUUCAUUCAGCUUCUUCCAUAAAUACUGGAGCACAAUCUGAGCAAUACUGUUUACCAGUCUGUUUCUCCACACAGGCCUAAACCUGGCUUGCUCAAUGUGCUGUGUUGGUAAACAGUAGGAAGCACAAUAGAUCAUUUGUAAGGACACUAGGGCAUUAACAGGGUUGGAGUUUCGGUGCUUCUGAGCAAGCAGCCUAACUGUGUGCUCUCAAGUGUAUGCAAUCAUGCACUUCUAAGACUAUAACUGAAGGCUCAAAGCAUGGACUUCUUGGUCUUGGAAUCAUUUUGGACACUGAAGCCCUGAAAUACUUCUGACCUAAUUCUGACUCACUUUGAAGAUCCUGCUGCCAUGCAGCAACGUUUCUAUUGCAGCCAUUUUUUUAGAAGUCCGUACUGUAUUGUUUUCAUGUCAUAGUGCCACGUCUAUAAGAAAGGGCUGUGAAGGAUGAGGCAAAACCACCCCUUAGAGCCCAACAUGAAGGAAACUUAUACCACUGAUGGUGGCUACCAGCUCUAAGUUAUAAACAACUUCUAUUUAUGAUCAAGAUAGUGAGGAAACAGCAAAGCAAGGAAGGCAUACAUGAGAGAACAUUAUGGAUCUCUCCCCUUCCAUGUUGCCGCAGCCUGCUCUGUGAGCUGCCAAUAGAGGGAGUCGUGUGGGGUCAGAAAACAGGGGGGAGGCAUUGCCAUUGGGGAUGGAGAUGGAGAUCUGCUGCUUGCUGUGAUCUAUGCGUGGAGGAAGAGCAGGGCAGCACAGCAUGUUCCCGGGCAGUAGCUGAACACCACUGACUCCCUCCCCCGGUCCUGUCAUCUACCCACUUGCCUUUGUCGCCUCAAGCGGUCUGGCACGCUGGGAGAGAAGCAACUUGACAUGUCUGCAUGAUGCACAGUUUUGACCCUUCUUGAGUUCCUUGCAGCAGCUUAAACAAGAACCGUCUUGACUUUGGUCAUUUUACGAUCUAGUUAACAGCAAUACACAAUUUUCUUUGAAAUAUGCAUGCAUGUUUAAAAACCUAUUUCUAUCAAAAUAUCAAUAACAUGAUUUUGAAUAUUUUGAGUUGCUUGUACUUGUUUGGACAAGCAUCUUCUCCUUGCUUUAACUUACCAUAUUAAACUCACCCUUGACCAAGCAUGAAUAGUAAAUCAAUUAUUUUACAUACGGGAGAGCUGCUUCUCUUAAAAUAAGCCUUUCCCAUGCUGAUGAACUCCUGCAAACUUGAUGGGUGCUGACCUGGUCUGGGGAGCCUUGUUCUAAUUUAUAAUGUUGCUUAUUGUGAGAAUACUGCCUACGCAAGUCCUGACGCUUGGUGUGCAGAUUUGCAUUCCAAUACUCAGAGCGCUCUGUACGGGUGGACAGGGCUGGUAUGCUGGCUCUCAGAGCACAAUGGGAAUUAUGGAUAUGUGUCUCUGGGCCAACAAUUAUUUCCAUGUGCUUGCUAAAUGAGCACAGAAGAGGGAAGACUUUCCUCUUGUUUAGUCUCUAUCACUGUCUUUGGUGCUGUAUUGAAUUUUAAUACAAACCUCCCCGCCACUAUCUAAGCCCAACACUGUUAGAUAUUUGCCUGGCUUUCAUUAUAACUCCAGUGCACGAAUAGCUGUAAGUUCACAAGGCUGGAGGGCAUCUUUGCUGAAGCUGGAAUCUUUGGUAAAUAACUUGCUGCAGUUUUAGAAGUGUUAAAAGUAACUAAGCACCUAAUGAAUGAGUACCUAAACAAUAGAGUUAGUCAAACUACUCCCACUAUUUCUUUUUGCUUGUAGAAGUAAAUAAAUAGUGAAUGUUUUUUCA